GACGAACGCUGGCGGCGCGCUUAACACAUGCAAGUCGAACGGAAAGGCCUGCUUUCCCUUGUGGAUUGCGGGUACUCGAGUGGCGAACGGGUGAGUAACACGUGAGUGAUCUGCCCCCAACUUGGGUAUAAGCCUGGGAAACUGGGUCUAAUUCCCGAUAGGACUGCAGGGUGGUGCCUGUGGUGGAAAACGAUUUUCUAGUGGUUGGGGAUGAGCUCGCGGCCUAUCAGCUUGUUGGUGGGGUAAUGGCCUACCAAGGCGGCGACGGGUAGCCGGCCUGGGAGGGUGGACGGCCACAUUGGGACUGAGACACGGCCCAGACUCCUACGGGAGGCAGCAGUGGGGAAUAUUGCACAAUGGGCGGAAGCCUGAUGCAGCGACGCCGCGUGGGGGAUGACGGCCUUCGGGUUGUAAACUCCUUUCGACCGCGAGGAAGCCACCUGGUUGGAAGGGUGGUGACGGUAGUGGUAGAAGAAGCACCGGCUAACUACGUG
rnacentral:rRNA from 1 species